GAGAAAUCGAAAGCCAGUUGGGAUCAAGAACGGAGGAGCGAGCGACCGGAAACGGAGACGGAGAAGAGAAAGAGAGAGCAUGAAAGAAGAACAGCAGCACCGGGAUCUCCUUCUUCAUUCGCGAUGCCAUUGAAAAUUCAUUUGUGCUUUCUGUCCUGUUCUAUUUCGCAAUUGAUUUUCAAUUUCUCUUUCUGUUAGACUCCAAACACUUAUGCUCUGCACCUUGGUUAUCGAAUUUCGCCCCUUUUCUGAUUCUCCGCCGCCGUCGCCGCCGCCGUCUUGACUCCGACUCUUACACUGUGUUUCCUCUCAACCGAAGAGUCUGAGUGGAGGGAAAAUAGAGGUUGAAUUGAAUUUCUUACAUAUGGGAGAGCAAACGCAAGUGCAGGUUCAGACUCAAACGCAAUCGCAGGCUCAGAACGCGCUUCAUGAAUCCUCCAACUCUACAACCACUAUUGCUCAAGCCACUAUAGCACUAAGCGAGGUGAUGAAUGCGCCAUCGCAAACCUCUUCUCUGCCAUCCAAAAUGCCUUUGCGUCCACGGAAAAUUCGAAAGCUCUCGCCCGCUGAAUCGGAUCCGAAUUCCUCUCAGAUUGUCACCAUUCCGGAUGGGCCGAAACCUAUCGUCACCGGGAAAUCUCACAAGAGCAAGACGGCCCAACAACGCGCCGCCUUCGCGUCUGCUCCAGUGCUGCCAGCCCGAUCACUUUCCUGUGAAGGCGAGGUGGAAAUCGCGCUUCGGCAUCUUGGGAAUGCGGAUCCGCUCCUUGCACCUUUGAUCGACCUCCAUCAACGUCCUACCUUCGACAGUUUUCAAACCCCAUUCCUUGCCCUAACUAGAAGUAUCCUAUAUCAGCAGCUGGCUUACAAAGCUGGCACAUCUAUUUACACCCGUUUUAUCGCCCUUUGUGGCGGCGACGCUGGUGUUCUUCCCGAAACCGUUCUUGCCUUGAACACUCAACAGCUCAGGCAAAUUGGAAUUUCGGGUCGUAAAUCUAGUUAUCUUCAUGACCUUGCUAGGAAAUACCAAAAUGGGAUUCUUUCAGACACGGCAAUUGUAAAUAUGGAUGAUAAAUCGCUUUUCACGAUGCUCACAAUGGUGAAUGGAAUUGGGUCUUGGUCUGUUCAUAUGUUCAUGAUUUUCUCGCUGCACAGACCAGAUGUGCUUCCUAUCAACGAUCUUAAUGUUCGCAAAGGUGUUCGGCUUCUCUACAAUCUUGAAGAGUUGCCUCGACCAUCACAAAUGGAUCAAUUAUGCGAGAAGUGGAGGCCGUAUCGAUCGGUUGGGUCCUGGUAUAUGUGGAGGCUUGCUGAGGCAAAGGGAGCUUCUUCGAGCGCAGCAGCAGUGGCUGCUGGUGCUAGCUUACAGCUGCAGCAACAAGAGCAGCAGCAGGAGCAACAGCAUCAACGGCAGCCGCAGCUUCUUGAUCCACUCAAUAGCAUUCUCAAUCUUGGGGCCUGUGCUUGGGGGCAGUGACUCCGUUUGAAAAGAGUACAUGUUAGCAAAUAUCCCAAUCAAUGUACCCACUGAAUGAAAAGUAUGCCAAUUAUGUGGGAGCAGAGGACUCGACAACGUAUAUUCGUUCGGUACCUCGAGGUACACCAGGAAGCUUGAAUUUUGAUGAUUUUAGCUGGAGAAAUGCUGCGGUUGGGUGAGUCUUCUUCUCACUUUGGAACCAAAUAACUUUGAAUAUCCGAAAGUGACGAGACGUUGGCCAACUACUUCCCUUUUUCAUUGUGUUUGGUCUUUUGGGCAGAGCCGAUUUCAUUGGCAGUUCUCAAGCGAUGGGCCAUUUUCUGUCCCAUGCCAUAUGUUAGCAUCAAAUUGGCCUUUGGGGUGUAAUGGGUCAAAAUUGACAUCCAACUAACUUACACGUAGGUUUUAAAGAUGAAAGAUGAUAUCGACAUAUUUAAUAUCCAUCUGAUUCGAUUUUCAUAGACA